UACGGAGGGGGUUAGCGUUGUUCGGAAUGACUGGGCGUAAAGCGCGCGUAGGCGGAUCAGGAAGUUGGGGGUGAAAUCCCGGGGCUCAACCCCGGAAUGGCCUUCAAAACUCCUGGUCUUGAGUUCGAGAGAGGUGAGUGGAAUUCCGAGUGUAGAGGUGAAAUUCGUAGAUAUUCGGAAGAACACCAGUGGCGAAGGCGACUUACUGGACGACUGUUGACGCUGAGGUGCGAAAGCGUGGGGAGCAAACAGG
rnacentral:rRNA from 1 species